CUUGGGCUGGAGUUCGUCGUU
rnacentral:miRNA from 1 species